CUCCCUCCUUACCCUUUCCCACCCCCUGUGUCCCAAACUAUGGCACAAUAGGCCUCAGCUCCUCUGUCUCUUCUGUGUCCAGCAGGAGCCCGCGGUGAUUCAUUGCGCCAAUUAGGGGCUCUGCAGCCCGUAGCUCGGGCUGUGUGAAGGGUCUCCUUUGGGACCCACGAAACCCAUCAGCCGCUGCCGCUGAUCUUUAAGGAAAGGUCAAGCAGGACGCGCUAGUGCCAGGCUGUGCCUCUGACCCCAUUGCUGCUGUCACUGCCAUCACACUGUCACCAUCCUUCCCUGACAUCAACUCUGACUUCAUCAGCCUCCAGCAUGGACUGAAGAUCAGGGACAUCCCAUAAUCCUCCAGGCCUUCGGCUCCCAUACCUCUUGGCUUCUCAGCCUCUCCAGCAGAACCUCCAGCACAGUGGCUGGCUGAACUUGACCCUUGGCAGGUUGAGGAGUUUCCAUCUGAGGCAAAAGCUGCUGGUGUUUUCCUGCAUAUCCAGUCCACGUCUUCUGUUGACAGCGCGUGAUACGCUUGUGGAAUGGACAGCCGUGAAUGGAAGGGACUCUAAGCCCAGGGAGGUAUGUACACUAGACAAG